rnacentral:rRNA from 1 species
GACGAACGCUGGCGGCGUGCUUAACACAUGCAAGUCGAGCGGAGCGGCGAACGGGUGAGUAACGCGUGAGUAACUGCCCCCCUCUCUGGGAUAACAGUUGGAAACGGCUGCUAAUACCGGAUAGUGGGGGAUGACUCGCGUCCUAUCAGCUUGUUGGUGGGGUAGUGGCCUACCAAGGCGACGACGGGUAGCCGGCCUGAGAGGGCGACCGGCGACAUUAGUCUGGGAGACGGCCCAAACGCCUACGGUGGGCAGCAGGGGGGAAUAUUACCCAACGAGGGAAACCCUGAUGCAGCAGCGCCGGGUGCGGGAUGACGGCCUUGGGGUUGUAAACCGCUUUCAGCCAUGACGCGGUAGUGGCAGAAGAAGCACCGGCUAACUACGUGCCAGCCGCCGCGGUAAUAC